AUUAAUAUGAGAAAUAAAUCGACUGUAUAUAUAUAAGAGAUACCCAAGGUCUUAAAAUACAAACAUUCUCUUUUCAUUCUUUAAAGUAUUAUUCACAAAUCUCUCCUCUCAUACUAUUAAUGUAUUACGACGAUGCUGCUUGUGUGCUAAGAAAAAUGUGUUUAGACGCAAAGGCUCCUCAUCUUUCAUCGACUCUGCCACCCACUUUGCCUUGGAAGUUCAAUAAACAUGUACAGCCUAAUAAAAGACUAACCCGCCAAGGCAAUGGGAACUCAGAAGAGCUACAUUGUGUCAUUGCUGUUAUUCGACAAUAUGUUUUCUUAGCAUAUAAAUCACCUUUAUCUCUUCUAUACUUCUAUCUGUUAAAAUUUUGUUAUUAGAUGACAGUGGCGAUCGAACAUCAAAACAGAAACUGAAACUAAAUGUUACAGAGGAGAAACUGUUAAACCUGAUGCUGAAGUACAAUGGUGGAAAGCCAAGAGCUGAGACAAAACUAAAAAGUGCAGUCCAGUUGCAAGACCUAUUAGAUGCAACAAGAAUGUUAGUUCCCCGUACAAGGUAGAACCAUGAACUCAACUCUUUGUGUCUUUUCUCCAAAAAGCAUGCCUGAUCUAUCAUUUCCAUGUGUUGAAUACUGGUAACGAUAAUAUAGUCUUCCUUUUUUUAUAUGUAGACCAGGUCGUGAGAGUGAUAGUGAUCCAGAAGACCUUGAACAUGCUGAGAAGCUUCGCCAAGUUAAAGCAGUUAUUGAAGAGGUUCUUUAUUACUUUUUUUUUUUUUGUUGAAUAUAGUCCAUGGAAAGUAUUACAUAGUAUCAUUUAGUAAUACUAUCUUAUAUCAUUUUUUUUGUUGAAUAUACUAUCUUAUAAGUAAGCUAGCAUUAUGCAUUUUUUAUUUAAUUCCUGAGGUCAUUUUCAAAGCAGU